UAUUGAUUUUCAUCAAAAUAGGACUAACACUAAAAAUCCAUCAAAUUUGGGGAUCGUCACUUUUACGAUCCCUUUUUGAGUAUAAAUCUUUUUAACCAGUGAAGUGAAUGAAUAUUUUUCUCAGCAUAAAACAAAUAGUCGAGAGAUAACGCUUUUUAAGCUAUAAGAUAAAUAUUGGAGAUUUAAUUUUCCCUUUUCUACCCGAUUGGGAUGGAAUUGCAGUUUUCCAUAUUUUUCAACCGGUUCAGUAGUUUUUCAAAUUUCAGCUUUCUGAGUCAUAGGGAAUUAAGGGAAAAGACCCAUAUAUGGGACAGUAUCCUAAUAUCGGAUAUCUCAAUAAUUCAUUCGAGAAGUGUUGUACUCUGCCGGCAAAUUUGUAAAACCUCCAUAGUCACAUGCCAUACUGUCUCAGUGAGUUUUCCCGCCGUGGACUGUACACUUGUUAAACUAACGUGUUUUGUUUUGUGAAGAUUGAAUUUUUUGGAGUGAUAUAGAAAGUAAUAUUUUACUGUAAGGUAAGCUAUAUAUAUUGGAAUGUGUGAAACAUCAAUUGAAAUCAUGAGAAUGGUAGAUUCUUCACCAUAUUAUAUUAACAAAAAGCUGUUUGCUUGAAUAAACUUAGAAGCUAAUGUUUGGAAAACGUAGCAGUCGCCUAAUCGGUUAUCCAAUACCUGAAUCCGGUUAUGUUAUUUUUCCUAAUCUUUCCUCUCAGCAGAGGCCGAAAGAGAAGGAAAGGAGAAAAUGAGACCCAGAGACAAUGAAAGCAACCAUCGCUGCAGUAAGAGAGACGAAAAUGAUGACGUGUUUGAAUGCUUCAGGAAGUUUUGUGCUCCUCUUAUGAUAACUCCUCUCAACUUCCACAGCCUGUUAUAAUGGAACCCAAGGAGGGAAAAAGCCGCCAGUCCGCAAACAAUAUCAUCAACCAAAGGAAAAAAGCGGAGGGUAAAUCCUGAAGUCAAUUCUUCCUCGAUUGAAGAAGCUACUUUUGUGCUUAUUGAUGAAGAUGCAGUGCAGAUGAGAAAUGCAUAUACUGCACUGCAGCCUACAAUUCCGAUAAACCAGAAGAGCAAUGAAUCCGAUAUAUUAAAUGCUGUUGCUGAGUUUAUGAAUUAUGUGCCGGGAUUGAAAUAGAUGAAUGGAAAUUCUAUGUUUGUGACUUUUGCAGGCCUAACUAAAGAUAUGAAAUAAUAUUUUUGUCCUGUUACAAGCACAUUCCAUUAUUUAUUAAUAAAUAUAGACUAAUGUGUUAUUUAUUUUCUUUUCCUAUUGAAGUGUACCAUACGAUAGUAUAGGCCGCGUCAGCUAGAUUGGCGUGUUGAUAAG
rnacentral:lncRNA from 1 species